rnacentral:rRNA from 1 species
GAUGAACGCUGGCGGCGUGCUUAACACAUGCAAGUCGAACGAAGCAUUUACGACAGAUUUCUUCGGAUUGAAGUUGUUUAUGACUGAGUGGCGGACGGGUGAGUAACGCGUGGGUAACCUGCCUUGUACUGGGGGAUAGCAGCUGGAAACGGCUGGUAAUACCGCAUAAGCGCACAAUGUUGCAUGACAUAGUGUGAAAAACUCCGGUGGUAUAAGAUGGACCCGCGUCUGAUUAGCUAGUUGGUGAGGUAACGGCCCACCAAGGCGACGAUCAGUAGCCGGCCUGAGAGGGUGAACGGCCACAUUGGGACUGAGACACGGCCCAGACUCCUACGGGAGGCAGCAGUGGGGAAUAUUGCACAAUGGGCGCAAGCCUGAUGCAGCAACGCCGCGUGGAGGAAGACGGUUUUCGGAUUGUAAACUCCUGUUCUUAGUGAAGAAUAAUGACGGUAGCUAAGGAGCAAGCCACGGCUAACUACGUGCCAG